rnacentral:rRNA from 1 species
UAAGGAAUAUUGCUCAAUGGGAGAAAUCCUGAAGCAGCAACGCCGCGUGGAGGAUGAAGGGUCUAUGACUUGUAAACUCCUGUAAAGAAGGAAAAAAUUCCCAUUUGAUGGGAGAUGAUGGUACUUCUGGAGUAAGCCCCGGCUAACUACGUGCCAGCAGCCGCGGUAAUACGUAGGUGGCAAGCGUUGUCCGGAUUUACUGGGCGUAAAGGAUGCGUAGGCGGAUACUUAAGUCAGAUGUGAAAAUCCCGGGCUUAACUUGGGAACUGCAUUUGAAACUGGGUAUCUAGAGUGCGGGAGAGGAAAGUGGAAUUCCUAGUGUAGCGGUGAAAUGCGUAGAGAUUAGGAAGCACACCAGUGGCGAAGGCGACUUUCUGGACCGUAACUGACGCUGAGGCAUGAAAGCGUGGGGAGCAAACA